CUCCAAAGAGACAAAGGGGGACAUCCUGUGUCCCAUGGGCCCGAGGGAUAUGGAAGUAGCUGAGAGAGCUGGACCUGGGGGAUCCUGGUGGUGGAGAAGAAAGGCCAGUGCAACAGUCGCCUUGAAUCCACAGUCAAGGACCAGAAAGGAUGCUGCACAUACACACACUCAUCGCCAUCCUGCCUUGAAGGGCACCAACGUUUUGUCACUUUACUAGCCGCGAUGUGGAUUUGAGAUACACCCCGAAAUGAUCAGCAGCCUGCUAUAGGGCAUCAUUUUCGAGGCCAAUUCAUCCCGCGUCCCGCGCGCCGGCUGGGGACCAGACCAGGUGCACGCAGAGCGGCCGUGGUGCCGGAAGAGAGGGGGCUGAGGGCUUCCAGCAGGGAAGUCGGAGGGCAGCCGGGGUCAUCAGGCCGUGAGCAAGCGGCGGGGAGCUCCUAGGCGCCUCCAGCGCGGAGCGGGAGGAGGGGCCGGAGGAGAUGUGCGGUCCCUUUAAGACCCCAACGCUCGCUUAGCCAGAGGAGCGGGGGUUGGGGGGGGCGACGGCUGGCGCUGCGUGAUGGGAAAGUCGCCGGCUGAGCCUCACACUUUCUCCCGAUUUCUUAACUUUCGGGUCGAGGGAUAGGGGAGAAAGCGGCGGUGUCCGGGAGGCGAGGGGGUGCGGGCUUGCAGCUGCUGCGUGGUCGCGGACUUCCCGCCCGCGCCGAGCCGCCGGCCUCGCUGGCCAACUGGGGAGCGGGCGGCGGGCGGGCAGGUGGCCCCGGGCCGCCGCACCCGCGCCUUGGCUCUGCCCCCGGGAGCCGAGCGAACCGCUGCUCCCUCGUGGUGUGAGGGCGGUGAUGUUUUUCCUCCCACCCACUUUCGAGUCCCCCCUCCCCCCUCGCACGCACUCUAGCUCUCGCCACAACCUGCGAAUCCCAGACCUCGGAGGAGCGCCCCGGGGAGCUUGGAACGCCUGCACGCGUGGACCACGGAGGAGGCCGGUGGCCAGGAGACCUCUUCUGAGAACGGACAGAGCCUUGACACUUGGCGGCCCAGAUCCCUUGCAGUCACAGCCAGGCAAGGAGCCCUUGAUCCCCUCCCUUGUUGCAAAUGAACUUGGUGAAUGCUUGUUUUACGAAGGCACCUUAAUGGGUACAUUUCUUUAGGAUCUUACGUGUUUCUUAGACUCCUGUAAAGCCCACUCACCCUCCCCAGCUCGGCAGCGUUGGUCUCAGAAUUUUUGUUUUCUUUGUUGUUUUCUUGUUGGAGCCUGGCUUUCCCCCAGAUAUGUCAAUGGCUACAUUUCUAAGUAACCUGUAAAAGAGCCAGUGCAAGUUCAAUGGCACAACGGCCUGUGUGAAGCAAACAGAGAGUUAAUGCCGAAAUAACUCCAGUUAACUGGGUCAAAGUAUAAUUUGAAAAAUUAAGGACAGUUUGGCUCUUUGCAAGUGUAAGAGUCGGCAUGUUUGCUGAGCAAUGCUCACUCGUGUUUAUUGCUGCAGCCCCAACAAAUGUCUUGAACUGUUCUCCUCCCCCCAAAAGAAAAAGUUAAAGGGAUAAAGAGAAAUUUAACAGAGACCUGGGGAGGGAACUCUUCUAGGUUUAUAGCUCCAUACAGAACAUAAAGGCAGGACUUCAGGAUCUUGUAAAGCAAAAGUGAUUAUUUAUAAAGAGAUUCAUUUUCUGAUGUUCUUCAGCCCAGCCAGGGAGGCCACACAGAUGACAGGAACGCCAAAAGAGAUUAAUUGCUCUCUAGUCACCAACUUUUCUCUUUGCUCAUACCAUUAGUUGAGACCCAAGAAAAGCAAAAAAAAAAAAAAAAGAAAAAACAAAAACCAAAACCUAAGAGCCGUUUUCUUGCCAGCUUGAGUUAUGAGGCAAUGCUACUGUUCACCAAAUCACCCAACCAUUGUACAAGAAAAACAAUCCAGUUGGUUCUUGCAUGGGGAGACCCGAAAACCAUGGCUUCAGAAAUCCCCCCUGAGAGCCAUAUGUGAUUAUGAUAAAUUGAAUUUCAGUGGUUUAAAAAAAAUCUUUCUCCUUUGGAGACUUGGGGGAUAAGCUUAUUAAAGAAGGCUCGGGAAGAACCUCACUGGGGUGAGUCGCUGUGUUAAAGCUGUUCAUGGAAAUGAUUUGCUUCGAGGGA
ensembl:lncRNA